AGCGUUUCUUACACAUGGUCGAGGGCUGAAACCGGUCAAUAAAAGAGCUCUCUAUACUUGGUACCUGAGGCAGAAGAGGAAUGUGUCAGGGAUAUCAGAUACCAGUUGCAGUCAGCAAAGUACCAUGAAGAGGACAUUCGAUUUGACAAAUGAUAGCCCUGCUCAUGGCCUUGACCACAAGCAGCGCAGGGUCAGGGUAAAGUGGCCAUCAGCAGCUACAGUGAUACUGGAGAGGGUCUUCCAAAUGGACAAAAACCCCACCGAGAACCAGAGAGAGGAGAUUGCACGUGUCUGUAAUGACGAGUUACAAAAAGCAGGUGAAGAGUACCCUAAUGGCCAGCGGAUGACAUCAGCUCAAGUCCAGACAUGGUUCAUGGAUAGGUGGUUUCAGGAUAUAACAAAGCACCAACGAAGUUAGCUUUG